ensembl:lncRNA
CUGGUCACGUGCUCUAUAAUGUUGUGCUGUGGACAUUUAUGUGCUUUUUGUGAAGAGGAGUUUUUUUGCGUCCUGUUCUCAUGCUGUCCUCCCAGGAGCUCAGCAUGGGUAGAGGUCUCUUUUUCAAAUCAAAUUCAAAUCAAAUUCAAAUUCAAAUUCAAAUUCAAAUUUUAUUUGUCACGUACACAGUCAUACACAGUACGAUAUGUAGUGAAAUGCUUGGACAACUGCUCGUGACCUAAAGAGAACAAAAAAGGAAAAGGCUAUGAAUAAGAUAGGAAAUAAAUAUGAAAAAUUAAAAAGGGUAAAUUUAACUAGGAAGGAAUAAAAUAUAAAUUAAGGUUAAAAAUGAAAUAACUGUACAACACAAAUUAGAAUGAAGGGUAAAUUUAACUGGGAAGGAAUAAGAUAAAAUAUAUAAAUUAAAGUUGAAAAUAAAAUAACUGUACAACAAAAUACACAAUAUAGAACUAUAUAAGAAUGUAUGAAGAAAUCUAAAUAUAAAUAAAUAUAUACACAAUAACAGCAGCUGUACAAGUAUUAACCGGAAAUGAAGAAUAUAGUGACCAGUGUUGUGCAAAAACAAUGUCCAGAAAGUCCAGUGUGUGUGUAAGAACCAUAUAUGUGGGUCAGUACUGUGUGGUGGUGUGAUUGAGAGACCGUAUCGCCUGCGGGAAGAAGCUCCUCCUCAGUCUCUCUGUGUUGGUCUUCAGGGAGCGGAAUCGCUUUCCUGACCUCAGCAGAGAGAACAGUCUGUUGUUGGGAUGGCUGAGGUCCUUCACGAUCUUCCUGGCCUUGGUCCGGCACCGCCUGCUGUAGAUUGAGUGCAGGUCAGGGAGCUCGGAGCGGAUGGUGCGCUCAGCUGACCGCACAACCCUCUGUAGAGCUCGUCUGUCCUGCAUGGUGCUGUUCCCGAACCAGGUUAAGAUGUUUCCCGCCAGGAUGCUCUCUAUGGUGCACGAGUAAAAGUUCCUGAGCACCUUGGAGGGCAGUUGGAAGUUUCUCAAGCGUCUGAGGUGGUAGAGACGCUGUCGGGCCUUUUUCAC